CUGCCCUUGUGCAAGGGGCACAAAACACAGGUUAGAGGUGUUUUUGUUUUAUGGAUCUCUUAGGCACAGUAAGUAAAUCUUAAAGCAUAACUUUAGCUCUUACACUCUCCCAUCCAUUGGCUGAAUAACUUUACCAGGCCUCUGAGGACUGAAGGGAUUUUAAGCAAAUGAAAGGCUUUACCCACCGUGUUCCCUGAGGUGAGGACUCUGAAGACUAAUGAUGCUAUCAGAGAGGCUUUGGCAAAAAUCCUUCAAUCUGAACCUAUUGGGUACAAGCGGCAAGAAUCCCUCAAGGGCUGGCCACUUGACUUUUCUGCUAUGAUGGAUUGUAUCCUGGAACUGAAAGUUAAAAUGGACUCUCUCACUGGGGUCAGAAGAUUGUUUCAGUUUCCUGAGUAAACUGCUUAUGGAAGAGUCUCAGUGUUGCGUCUUCCUUGCUGGUCGAGGCGGUCUCGACAAGUGGUGGCCCGUACAGGGAAUUCUUCCUCUGAAGAGACUCAGAACCUUCUGCAGCCAGGGCAGUGCACUGGUAAGUCCCAGGUAAGAGGGAUAAAAUUAAGGGCCCCGUGAAGAGGGCAGAAAAUCUACAGACCGAGACUAGAGGGUGAUAAAGUUUUCCUUUUUCCGUAGAUAGAGAGAAAAGGGGGAAAAAAUUUUGUGCUGUGCUAAAUAUGGGCGCGUCGAUCUCGCACCCAAUUUUUGUGGCCCUAAAUGAGUUGCUUCGCUUGGAGGGCUUAAAACCAAAACGAAG
rnacentral:lncRNA from 1 species